AUUGAACGCUGGCGGCAGGCCUAACACAUGCAAGUCGAACGGUAACAGGAAGAAGCUUGCUUCUUUGCUGAUGAGUGGCGGACGGGUGAGUAAUGUCUGGGAAACUGCCUGAUGGAGGGGGAUAACUACUGGAAACGGUAGCUAAUACCGCAUAACGUCGCAAGACCAAAGAGGGGGACCUUCGGGCCUCUUGCCAUCGGAUGUGCCCAGAUGGGAUUAGCUAGUAGGUGGGGUAACGGCUCACCUAGGCGACGAUCCCUAGCUGGUCUGAGAGGAUGACCAGCCACACUGGAACUGAGACACGGUCCAGACUCCUACGGGAGGCAGCAGUGGGGAAGAUUGCACAAUGGGCGCAAGCCUGAUGCAGCCAUGCCGCGUGUAUGAAGAAGGCCUUCGGGUUGUAAAGUACUUUCAGCGGGGAGGAAGGGAGUAAAGUUAAUACCUUUGCUCAUUGACGUUACCCGCAGAAGAAGCACCGGCUAACUCCGUGCCAGCAGCCGCAGUAA
rnacentral:rRNA from 1 species